rfam:Triticum aestivum genome assembly, contig: Triticum_aestivum_CS42_TGACv1_scaffold_578626_7BL
GUACUACUCCCUCCGUCCGGAAAUACUUGUCAUCAAAAUGAAUAAAAGAAGAUGUAUCUAGACGUAUUUUAGUUCUAAGAUACGUCCCUUUUUAUCUAUUUUGAUGACAAGUAUUUUCGGACGGAGGGAGUACUUU